CUUGAUUUUCAAUCUAGGUUGGAAUUUGGGGAUGGACUUUCUUUUUCCUUGGUAGAAAAAUUAUUUCCUUUUUUGAGUCAACCGGUAGGCGUCCAGCACCGAUCAUCUGAUCAUAUUUACAACAGCUGAAACAUGUACAGAAGGAAAGCAGUGAUAGAGACUCCCCCUUGAAAUCCCAACACCACAACAAUCUACCGACAAAAUGAUCAGGAUAACCUUCAAAAAAGG
rnacentral:misc_RNA from 1 species